GUUCAGUCCUUUAACACACACUGACACACAGCACAAUGAUGAUGUCACUCAUUCUACUGCUGGGGACACUGGGACUCCUCACUCAGGCCUGGAGAUCCUGGAAAAGCUGCUGAGGAAAUACUGUGUUAAACUGUCCAGACAGCAACUGUUCCAGUUACCCCAGACCCAGUCCAGAGUUCCUCUACAGAUCUUCAUACUCACUGUCCAACCCUGAAACAAGGCCCUGCCUGGAGGUGGGAUAUAAGGAAGUGUUUUGGAGGAAUAAAAAAGAGAAAGAUGAUAUUUUGGACAUCUGUUUGUGUCAGUUUUGAUAUUUGAUUUGGUGCUUGGCUUCUUUUCCCACUUACUCUGAUUCUGAGCUUGUUUGAUCCCUCUAACUUGGCCACUGUUGUAAAUUUGUAUAUAGUAUGUAUGUAUUUGUGUGUGCUCUGGAAAGCAGGGAAGGCCUGCCCUUAUGUUUGGGCCCUGGGUUAUUUUGUCUGUGUUAUCACUUAGGGAGUUAAUGUAGUCUUAUCUUAGUAUAGGAUAUUAUCAGAGGAUGGUUGUGAUCCAUCAACCUCUGGGUUAUGGUCCCAGCACACUUCCACUGCACCACUCUGCUCUCCUGCUAAUAGAGAAAUAAUAAAAUACCUACAAACUCA